rnacentral:rRNA from 1 species
AGAGUUUGAUCAUGGCUCAGGACGAACGCUGGCGGCGUGCUUAAUACAUGCAAGUCGAGCGAGGUUACUGUUUCGGAUCCCUUCGGGGUGAAGAAGCUUUAACCUAUCGGCGGACGGGUGAGUAACGCGUGGGUAACCUACCCCAAAGUCCGGGAUAACAGCGGGAAACCGCUGCUAAUACCGGAUGUCUUUACCUUGGGGCAUCUUGAGGUAAAGAAAGGUAACGCUUUGGGAUGGGCCCGCGUCCCAUUAGCUAGUUGGUGAGGUAACGGCUCACCAAGGCGACGAUGGGUAGCCGGCCUGAGAGGGUGGACGGCCACACUGGGACUGAGACACGGCCCAGACUCCUACGGGAGGCAGCAGUAGGGAAUAUUGCGCAAUGGACGGAAGUCUGACGCAGCGACGCCGCGUGAGCGAUGAAGGUCUUCGGAUCGUAAAGCUCUGUCCUUGGGGAAGAAGGCGAAAGCUUGACGGUACCCAAGAAGAAAGCCCCGGCUAACUACGUGCCAGCAGCCGCGGUAAUACGUAGGGGGCGAGCGUUGUCCGGAAUUACUGGGCGUAAAGGGUGCGUAGGCGGCCCUUUAAGUCGGAUGUGAAAGCCCGCGGCUUAACCGCGGAAUGGCAUUCGAAACUGGAGGGCUUGAGUGUCGGAGAGGGUAGUGGAAUUCCCAGUGUAGCGGUGAAAUGCGUAGAUAUUGGGAGGAACACCAGUGGCGAAGGCGACUACCUGGACGAUAACUGACGCUGAGGCACGAAAGCUAGGGGAGCAAACAGGAUUAGAUACCCUGGUAGUCCUAGCCGUAAACGAUGGGUACUAGGUGUGGGUGGUUUCGAUACCAUCCGUGCCGUAGUUAACGCAUUAAGUACCCCGCCUGGGGAGUACGUGCGCAAGCAUGAAACUCAAAGGAAUUGACGG